rnacentral:rRNA from 1 species
CCUACGGGGGGCAGCAGUGAGGAAUAUUGGUCAAUGGACGAGAGUCUGAACCAGCCAAGUAGCGUGAAGGAUGACUGCCCUAUGGGUUGUAAACUUCUUUUAUAUGGGAAUAAAACGUUCCACGUGUGGGAUUUUGUAUGUACCAUAUGAAUAAGGAUCGGCUAACUCCGUGCCAGCAGCCGCGGUAAUACGGCGGGUCCGAGCGUUAUCCGGAUUUAUUGGGUUUAAAGGGAGCGUAGGUGGAUUGUUAAGUCAGUUGUGAAAGUUUGCGGCUCAACCGUAAAAUUGCAGUUGAAACUGGCAGUCUUGAGUACAGUAGAGGUGGGCGGAAUUCGUGGUGUAGCGGUGAAAUGCUUAGAUAUCACGAAGAACUCCGAUUGCGAAGGCAGUUCACUGGACUGCAACUGACACUGAGGCUCGAAGGUGUGGGUAUCAAACAGGAUUAGAUACCCGUGUAGUC